AAGACAGAGGUCGUUGGGUUGCUGAACCUGGUAUUGACAAGAAAGCAUCUGCUUUCAUUGCUAGAUUCUAUGAAAACCGUAUCACUGAUUCUGAGCAACAAAUUGCAUCUUAAGAUUUUAUUUAUUUAUUUAUUAAACUCCUUCUUCUUCAUUAAUGUUGUUUUCCAAUAAUCCCCUCCCCAAAUGUAAUCUAAUGUAAUGUAAUGCUUAGUCAGUGUUAUAAUCUGAGGUAUGAAUUCAAACAUGCUAUAGCUGCAAUAAUGUGUUUUGUUAUUACUUAUUAAUAAAUAAUAUAAAAUCACAUUCAUUUUUUUUUGUUUUGUUUUGUUUUGAUAUCUUAUAUUCUUAUCAAUCCUUCUUUUUUUUUUAUUUUAUAUACUACUUAGUUCUUGCACUAGAUAUAAGCCUUGAUCGCGACAUCGUUGGCAAGGAACAGAGUUGGCGCGGUCGAUUAUUUGAGAAAAUUUAAUAUCUUGACUUCAUUACAAGAAAGUAGAGCUUCUGUCACUAAUUCACUGCAUCAACUAAUUUUUGAUUAGGCCAUUCAUAGAAGCUAUAUAUUAUCUCAAAAUGACUUGAUUAAGAUUACUAAACCAGAUUACACAUGCAAGGAAGAACUCAAGCAAUUUGUAUUACAUUCUUGAUAUUUAUAAAUAAUAUUUUUUGGUACAACUAUUUCUUCUAUUACUUAGGUAUGCCAGUCCUGUUUUAUUUUGGUUCAUUUUUUUUUUAUGUUGUUAAGGGGAUCUUUAGAGUUUAGGUAAUUUAAUGUAAU
rnacentral:lncRNA from 1 species